rnacentral:rRNA from 1 species
GACGAACGCUGGCGGCGUGCCUAAUACAUGCAAGUAGAACGCUGAAGGAGGAGCUUGCUUCUCUGGAUGAGUUGCGAACGGGUGUGUAACGCGUAGGUAACCUGCCUGGUAGCGGGGGAUAACUAUUGGAAACGAUAGCUAAUACCGCAUAAGAGUAGAUGUUGCAUGACAUUUGCUUAAAAGGUGCAAUUGCAUCACUACCAGAUGGACCUGCGUUGUAUUAGCUAGUUGGUGGGGUAACGGCUCACCAAGGCGACGAUACAUAGCCGACCUGAGAGGGUGAUCGGCCACACUGGGACUGAGACACGGCCCAGACUCCUACGGGAGGCAGCAGUAGGGAAUCUUCGGCAAUGGACGGAAGUCUGACCGAGCAACGCCGCGUGAGGGAAGAAGGGUUUCGGAUCGUAAAGCUCUGUUGUAAGAGAAGAACGAGUGUGAGAGUGGAAAGUUCACACUGUGACGGUAUCUUACCAGAAAGGGACGGCUAACUACGUG